rnacentral:lncRNA from 1 species
GGACCUGCGACUUCCGAACAACCCUGGCAGGAGGAGCGGCGUUCAGCCGGGGGAGGCCUGAAGAAACGCUCCGGGGCCCAGUGGCUCUACCCCUGCUCCUGCCCGACCCUGCCGCCUCCCUCACGGAGCCAGCGGCCGGGUAGGAUGCAGACAUCAGAACGUGAGGGGAGUGGGCCGGAGCUGAGCCCCAGCGUGAUGCCCGAGGCUCCCCUGGAGUCUCCACCUUUUCCUACCAAGUCCCCAGCGUUUGACCUUUUCAACUUGGUUCUCUCCUACAAGAGGCUGGAGAUCUACCUGGAACCCUUGAAGGAUGCAGGUGAUGGUGUUCGAUACUUGCUCAGGUACAGACUUUGUGGAGUUGCUCUGGUCUGCUCUGCCUUCUGCCGUCCUGCUCUGUAGUAACUAACACUGACCAUUUAGGCAGUGGCUGGGCUGUCCUUUCUGCCCUAGUGAGGAGCAGUUCUGGGAGGUCUGUUCGGCCUCUGGGUUUAUCUAGGCCUACCCUGUGUCUC